rnacentral:rRNA from 1 species
GAUGAACGCUGGCGGCGUGCCUAAUACAUGCAAGUAGAACGCUGAAGGAGGAGCUUGCUCUUCUGGAUGAGUUGCGAACGGGUGAGUAACGCGUAGGUAACCUGCCUGGUAGCGGGGGAUAACUAUUGGAAACGAUAGCUAAUACCGCAUGACAACAGUUAUUGCAUGAUAACUGUUUAAAAGUGGCAACUGCUCCACUACCAGAUGGACCUGAGUUGUAUUAGCUAGUUGGUGAGGUAACGGCUCACCAAGGCGACGAUACAUAGCCGACCUGAGAGGGUGAUCGGCCACACUGGGACUGGGACACCGCCCAGACUCCUACGGGAGGCAGCAGGAGGGAAUCAUUGGCAAUGGACGGAAGUCUGACCGAGCAACGCCGCGUGAGUGAAGAAGGUUUUCGGAUCGUAAAGCUCUGUUGCAAGAGAAGAACGAGUGUGAGAGUGGAAAGUUCACACUGUGACGGUAUCUUACCAGAAAGGGACGGCUAACUACGUG